AUACGUAGGGAGCGAGCGUUGUCCGGAAUUACUGGGCGUAAAGGGCGCGUAGGCGGCGCUUCAAGUCGUCUGUCAAAUGGGAGGGCUUAACCCUUUUUCGCAGACGAAACUGGAGAGCUUGAGAAGCAGAGAGGCAAACAGAAUUCCUGGUGUAGCGGUGAAAUGCGUAGAUAUCAGGAAGGAUACCAGUGGCGAAGGCGGUUUGCUGGCUGCAUACUGACGCUGAAGCGCGAAAGCCAGGGGAGCAAACGGGAUUAGAUACCCCGGUAGUCCUGGCAGUAAACGAUGUAUGCUGGGUGUGAGACUAGCGAUAGUUUCGUGCCGAAGUUAACGCGAUAAGCAUACCGCCUGAGGAGUACGGUCGCAAGAUUGAAACUCAAAUGAAUUGGCGGGG
rnacentral:rRNA from 1 species